rnacentral:rRNA from 1 species
CUUGGUCAGGUUGAAGUUCAGGUAACACUGAAUGGAGGACCGAACCGACUUACGUUGAAAAGUGAGCGGAUGAACUGAGGGUAGCGGAGAAAUUCCAAUCGAACCUGGAGAUAGCUGGUUCUCUCCGAAAUAGCUUUAGGGCUAGCCUCAAGUGAUGAUUAUUGGAGGUAGAGCACUGUUUGGACGAGGGGCCCCUCUCGGGUUACCGAAUUCAGACAAACUCCGAAUGCCAAUUAAUUUAACUUGGGAGUCAGAACAUGGGUGAUAAGGUCCGUGUUCGAAAGGGAAACAGCCCAGACCACCAGCUAAGGUCCCAAAAUAUAUGUUAAGUGGAAAAGGAUGUGGCGUUGCCCAGACAACUAGGAUGUUGGCUUAGAAGCAGCCAUCAUUUAAAGAGUGCGUAAUAGCUCACUAGUCGAGUGACACUGCGCCGAAAAUGUACCGGGGCUAAACAUAUUACCGAAGCUGUGGAUUGUCCUUUGGACAAUGGUAGGAGAGCGUUCUAAGGGCGUUGAAGCAUGAUCGUAAGGACAUGUGGAGCGCUUAGAAGUGAGAAUGCCGGUGUGAGUAGCGAAAGACGGGUGAGAAUCCCGUCCACCGAUUGACUAAGGUUUCCAGAGGAAGGCUCGUCCGCUCUGGGUUAGUCGGGUCCUAAGCUGAGGCCGACAGGCGUAGGCGAUGGAUAACAGGUUGAUAUUCCUGUACCACCUAUAAUCGUUUUAAUCGAUGGGGGGACGCAGUAGGAUAGGCGAAGCGUGCGAUUGGAUUGCACGUCUAAGCAGUAAGGCUGAGUAUUAGGCAAAUCCGGUACUCGUUAAGGCUGAGCUGUGAUGGGGAGAAGACAUUGAGUCUUCGAGUCGUUGAUUUCACACUGCCGAGAAAAGCCUCUAGAUAGAAAAUAGGUGCCCGUACCGCAAACCGACACAGGUAGUCAAGAUGAGAAUUCUAAGGUGAGCGAGCGAACUCUCGUUAAGGAACUCGGCAAAAUGACCCCGUAACUUCGGGAGAAGGGGUGCUCUUUAGGGUUAACGCCCAGAAGAGCCGCAGUGAAUAGGCCCAAGCGACUGUUUAUCAAAAACACAGGUCUCUGCUAAACCGUAAGGUGAUGUAUAGGGCUGACGCCUGCCCGGUGCUGGAAGGUUAAGAGGAGUGGUUAGCUUCUGCGAAGCUACGAAUCGAAGCCCCAGUAAACGGCGGCCGUAACUAUAACGGUCCUAAGGUAGCGAAAUUCCUUGUCGGGUAAGUUCCGACCCGCACGAAAGGCGUAACGAUUUGGGCACUGUCUCAACGAGAGACUCGGUGAAAUCAUAGUACCUGUGAAGAUGCAGGUUACCCGCGACAGGACGGAAAGACCCCGUGGAGCUUUACUGUAGCCUGAUAUUGAAAUUCGGCACAGCUUGUACAGGAUAGGUAGGAGCCUUUGAAACGUGAGCGCUAGCUUACGUGGAGGCGCUGGUGGGAUACUACCUAGCUGUGUUGGCUUUCUAACCCGCACCACUUAUCGUGGUGGGAGACAGUGUCAGGCGGGCAGUUUGACUGGGGCGGUCGCCUCCUAAAAGGUAACGGAGGCGCUCAAAGGUUCCCUCAGAAUGGUUGGAAAUCAUUCAUAGAGUGUAAAGGCAUAAGGGAGCUUGACUGCGAGACCUACAAGUCGAGCAGGGUCGAAAGACGGACUUAGUGAUCCGGUGGUUCCGCAUGGAAGGGCCAUCGCUCAACGGAUAAAAGCUACCCCGGGGAUAACAGGCUUAUCUCCCCAAGAGUUCACAUCGACGGGGAGGUUUGGCACCUCGAUGUCGGCUCAUCGCAUCCUGGGGCUGUAGUCGGUCCCAAGGGUUGGGCUGUUCGCCCAUUAAAGCGGUACGCGAGCUGGGUUCAGAACGUCGUGAGACAGUUCGGUCCCUAUCCGUCGUGGGCGUAGGAAAUUUGAGAGGAGCUGUCCUUAGUACGAGAGGACCGGGAUGGACAUACCUCUGGUGUACCAGUUGUCGUGCCAACGGCAUAGCUGGGUAGCUAUGUGUGGACGGGAUAAGUGCUGAAAGCAUCUAAGCAUGAAGCCCCCCUCAAGAUGAGAUUUCCCAACUUCGGUUAU